rnacentral:lncRNA from 1 species
GUGCACGCUCAAUUGCUCACUUGUGUCAGACUCUGUGAUUCUUUACUGCUGAGCCACUAGGGAAGCCCAGUGUGGGGCACAUCAGCGCUUUAUUUGAGGUGACGACAGAGAUCUCUAGUUGUUUCCUUCCUUUCCUUUUCUAACAGAAUAACAUUAACACGUAUGCUACCGGUCUGCGGCUCCGACGCUUAUCAAGAGGAGACGUUGCCUGGGUUGCUCUGUGUUCAUCUGACCCUGGUGCCCUCUCUGAUCUACCAGCCAGAUGGGAUCUCACUUGAAGAAGGGGACAAGUCAGCACAAUGCGCUGAAUGCCCGAGGCUCCAUCCGGACGUGCUGCUCUCUGCACC